rnacentral:rRNA from 1 species
UACGUAGGGUGCAAGCGUUGUCCGGAAUUAUUGGGCGUAAAGAGCUCGUAGGCGGUUUGUCGCGUCUGCUGUGAAAACUCGGGGCUUAACCCCGGGCCUGCAGUGGGUACGGGCAGACUAGAGUGCGGUAGGGGAGACUGGAAUUCCUGGUGUAGCGGUGAAAUGCGCAGAUAUCGGGAGGAACACCGGUGGCGAAGGCGGUUCUCUGGGCCUGACCUGACGCUGAGGAGCGAAAGCGUGGGGAGCAAACAGG